GACGAACGCUGGCGGCGUGCCUAAUACAUGCAAGUAGAACGCUGAAGAGAGGAGCUUGCUCUUCUUGGAUGAGUUGCGAACGGGUGAGUAACGCGUAGGUAACCUGCCUUGUAGCGGGGGAUAACUAUUGGAAACGAUAGCUAAUACCGCAUAACAAUAGGUGACACAUGUCAUUUAUUUGAAAGGGGCAAUUGCUCCACUACAAGAUGGACCUGCGUUGUAUUAGCUAGUAGGUGAGGUAACGGCUCACCUAGGCGACGAUACAUAGCCGACCUGAGAGGGUGAUCGGCCACACUGGGACUGAGACACGGCCCAGACUCCUACGGGAGGCAGCAGUAGGGAAUCUUCGGCAAUGGGGGCAACCCUGACCGAGCAACGCCGCGUGAGUGAAGAAGGUUUUCGGAUCGUAAAGCUCUGUUGUAAGUCAAGAACGAGUGUGAGAGUGGAAAGUUCACACUGUGACGGUAGCUUACCGGAAAGGGACGGCUAACUACGUG
rnacentral:rRNA from 1 species